GGUCAGUUGGUCUAAUUGGUAAGACAUGCCAGCCAUACCAUGGAUUGGCACUAACACUGCCGGUGUAAGAUGCAGGUUCGAAUCCUGCACUGGUCA